rnacentral:rRNA from 1 species
GUCUAUGGCCAUGUUACCCUGAACAAGGUCGAUUCUGUCUUAUCUUGGAAGCUAAGCAGGGUUGGGCCUGGUUAGUACUUCGACGAGAGACUACCUAGAAAGACCAGGUGCUAUAGGCA